rnacentral:rRNA from 1 species
UCGAGAAUCUUCGGCAAUGGGCGCAAGCCUGACCGAGCGACACCGCGUGCGGGAUGAAGGCCUUCGGGUUGUAAACCGCUGUCGUAGGGGAGGAAGGUCUGGUGUAUAGCCAGGCUUGACCGAUCCUAGGAGGAAGGGCCGGCUAAUCUCGUGCCAGCAGCCGCGGUAAUACGAGAGGCCCAAACGUUAUUCGGAUUUACUGGGCUUAAAGAGUUCGUAGGCGGCGUGGAAAGUAGGGUGUGAAAGCCCUCGGCUCAACCGAGGAAUUGCGCUCUAAACUACCGUGCUUGAGGAACCUAGAGGUGAGCAGAACUGAUGGUGGAGCGGUGAAAUGCGUUGAUAUCAUCAGGAAUACCGGAGGCGAAGGCGGCUCACUGGGGGUUAUCCGACGCUGAGGAACGAAAGCCAGGGGAGCAAACGGGAUUAGAUACCCCGGUAGUCCUGGCCGUAAACGAUGAGCACUGGACCGGAGGCCUGCACAGGUUUCCGGCGUAGCGAAAGUGGAAGUG